AGGAUAGAGGCCUACCAUGGUGGUAACGGGUAACGGGGUGUUAGGGCACGACACCGGAGAGGGAGCCUGAGAAACGGCUACCACAUCCAAGGAUGGCAGCAGGCGCGCAAAUUACCCAAUCCCGACACGGGGAGGUAGUGACAAUAAAUAACAAUACGGGGUUCUUUAGGAUCUCGUAAUUGGAAUGAGUACAAUUUAAAUCUCUUAACGAGGAACAAUUGGAGGGCAAGUCUGGUGCCAGCAGCCGCGGUAAUUCCAGCUCCAAUAGCGUAUAUUAAAGUUGUUGCAGUUAAAAAGCUCGUAGUUGAAUUUCGGGGUUAGUAGGUUGGUCAUGCCUCUGGUAUGUACUGGUCUCACUGACUCCUCCUUCCUUAUGAACCGUAAUGCCAUUAAUUUGGUGUUGCGGGGAAUUUGGACUGUUACUUUGAAAAAAUUAGAGUGUUUAAAGCAAGCUAACGCUUGAAUACAUUAGCAUGGAAUAAUGAAAUAGGACGUUCGAUCUUAUUUUGUUGGUUUCUAGGAUUGACGUAAUGAUUAAUAGGGAUAGUUGGGGGCAUUAGUAUUCAAUUGUCAGAGGUGAAAUUCUUGGAUUUAUUGAAGACUAACUACUGCGAAAGCAUUUGCCAAGGAUGUUUUCAUUAAUCAAGAACGAAAGUUAGGGGAUCGAAGACGAUCAGAUACCGUCGUAGUCUUAACCAUAAACUAUGCCGACUAGGGAUCGGA
rnacentral:rRNA from 1 species